CAUGAGUGGCAGUGGCAGACUCGUUGAUUUGCCGACAAUGUUGGGACGCGGCACCAAGGCUCCAUGGUGUAUCAGGGAAGGAAGAGAAAGGAGCGCAGGCAGUAUUAUGGGAGAUGAGCGCCGCGUGCGUGCAUCGGCUGGAAUAAAGCAGCUGAGGUAAUAAGGUUCCGCCGCACGACUCGAAUGGAUCAGCUCCUCGUUAGCCUGACCGCAUCAAAACAGCCCAGGCGGCCAUCUCCUCCCUGCUAGCUGCCUCUCCGAUCAAAGACUCGUUAAGCUCCACACGCUGUUCAGUGCGUUGGGGAAAGCACUUGUCGAGUCGCCGCUACAAUUCCCCCUCCCAUUUCAUCCUAACCUUUCACCAAUUUUCUCUCUCACUUCCUUGUCAUUGUUUCUCUUCCCCAUACAGUCCCUUGAUCACCUCCGCGGCAACUCACCCACACCCAUCUCAGUCCAUCUCACCCUUAUC